GUGGUACGUGAGCUGGGUUCAGACCGUCGUGAGACAGGUCGGUCCCUAUCUGCUGUGGGCGUACGAAACUUGAGGAGAUUCUUCUUUAGUACGAGAGGAUUUGGAAGGACGUUCCUCUGGUGUGCCAGUUGUCGCGCUAGCGGCACGGCUGGAUAGCUAUGAACGGAACGGAUAAACGCUGAAAGCAUAUAAGCGUGAAGCCCGCUCCAAGAUCAGGUUUCGUAAGGGUGUAACCCGAAAGUCCCCUGGAAGACGACCAGGUUGAUAGGCCGGACGUGUACGUGCAGUAAUGCACUUAGCUAACCGGUACUAACGGACGAAUGCUUGACCACUC
rnacentral:rRNA from 1 species